AGCCUAACAGCUAGCUCACCUAUUAAGACCAUAUAAACAAUAUUUAUUAACCUAAAAAGAAAUAAUUAAAC
rnacentral:rRNA from 1 species